rnacentral:rRNA from 1 species
UACGAAGGGGGCUAGCGUUACUCGGAAUUACUGGGCGUAAAGGGCGCGUAGGCGGACAGUUUAGUCAGAGGUGAAAGCCCAGGGCUCAACCUUGGAAUUGCCUUUGAUACUGGCUGUCUUGAGUUCGGGAGAGGUGAGUGGAACUGCGAGUGUAGAGGUGAAAUUCGUAGAUAUUCGCAAGAACACCAGUGGCGAAGGCGGCUCACUGGCCCGAUACUGACGCUGAGGCACGAAAGCGUGGGGAGCAAACAGG